ensembl:lncRNA
CUUUUUAGUACUUGGCUGUCUUUUAAAUGGUAGACUUUCUGAAGCUUCAUAAAUACUAGUUGUCAAAAAUAUUGUAAAAUAAAAAUCGCAGAUUGUUGUGGUGUAACUCAACGCACACGCACACGCGCGCGCGCACACACACACACACACACACACACACACACCUGGAGUUGUUUCAUUGUUAAGCUAUCAGUUUUAAUCUAUGUUUAAUGUCAAGGUUUGAGACUUUCUUUCUUUCUUUCUUUCUUUCUUUCUUUCUUUCUUUUGUAGAAUAGAUUUUUAAUAUUUUCUCCACAUCAAUUAAAAUCAUCUUCUGUCACUAAAAUAAUUUAUUUAGGAUGGAUGUGCGGAUACCAAAUAUAUCAGUGUGCAUUCUCAGUGAGCUUUUAUUUUCAAAUUUCUUCCUUCUGAGCCCUAACCGACAUGCUUAUAAGUAACAGUAGUAUAUUUAGUUUGCAUGUGUGUUUGGAUUAAUUUGGCGUUCACUUUCAACAGUCAUACAUAGAAAAUCUGCUUAACUGUGGUGCUUUCUUUUGGGAUUUUGUCUGUCUGUUAAAUGAUAGGCCUUGUGUAGCAUCAUAGAUACUACUGAGUUUCACAUAACAUCCUUUAUACAAUCUAAAAGUAACCAUGGGCGUAAUAGAACCAGGCAACAAAACGAGACUGAGAAAUGUAGCUCCUAUUCCAACUAAUCUGACACCUCCUUCACUUCCCUCUGAGAGAGAGAGAGAGAGAGAGAGAGAUAGAGAUAGAGAGAGAGAGAGAGAGAGAGAGAGAGACAGAGGUGUCAAUAUUACAUACAGCAAGUUUUGAAAAGAAAAUAAGGGUGAAAAAAGAAAUUUAACAUUUUUAAUGGUCCCAUUACACAGAGCAAACCGCAACCAUCUUUCAGUGUGGAUUUUCCCAGUUUUCCCUCUGUGUGUACAGACUUUUCUUUUUAUAAAAGUUAGAUUUGUGCCUUAUACUAUUUAGUUACUACUUUUUCUGUCUGUAUGGGAUGUUGGUCCUUUGGUUUAGAGCUCUAAGGUUGACUAUUUAUCAGACUAACUAUUUUAAACAAUGGAGAGACUUUUUUAUACGUUUAUCGUUGAUUGCAUUUGUUUUUGUUUUUUCCUUCCUUCCUUUGCUUUAGGCAAAUUCCCAGAAGUGGGAUCUCAGGCUCAGGGUAGUUGCCCUGUAUGAGUGUCUUGCUGCACCUUCGGUGGCAUUGAGCAGGAUUUAUUUAUUUUAUUUAUAUGAGUACACUGUCGCUGUCUUCAGACACACCAGAAGAGGGCAUCAGAUCCC